CGAGGUGUGGCCCAGAUGGUUAGGGCGCUGGUCUGGGGGACCAGAGGCCGUCAGUUCGAGUCUGAUCACCUCGA
rnacentral:tRNA from 2 species